rnacentral:tRNA from 1 species
GCCGCGUUAGCUCAGCUGGUAGAGCAUCGCAUUCGUAAUGCGGGGGUCACAGGUUCGAGUCCUGUACGCGGCACCA